GACGAACCGUGCGAACGUUGUUCGGAUUCACUGGGCUUAAAGGGCGCGUAGGCGGGCGGUCAAGUCAGGGGUGAAAUCUUUCGGCUCAACCGGAGAAGUGCCUUUGAUACUGGCCGUCUCGAGGGAGGUAGGGGCAUGCGGAACUUCCGGUGGAGCGGUGAAAUGCGUAGAUAUCGGAAGGAACGCCGGUGGCGAAAGCGGCGUGCUGGACCUCUUCUGACGCUGAGGCGCGAAAGCCAGGGGAGCAAAGCGGG
rnacentral:rRNA from 1 species